UCUGGUCCUUGUGUGCCCGCCGCCGCGGUAAUACGGCCGGUCCGGGCGUUAUCCGGAUUUAUUGGGUUUAAAGGGAGCGUAGGCCGGAGAUUAAGCGUGUUGUGAAAUGUAGACGCUCAACGUCUGCACUGCAGCGCGAACUGGUUUCCUUGAGUACGCAUAAAGUGGGCGGAAUUCGUGGUGUAGCGGUGAAAUGCUUAGAUAUCACGAAGAACUCCGAUUGCGAAGGCAGCUCACUGGGGCGCAACUGACGCUGAAGCUCGAAAGCGCGGGUAUCGAACAGG
rnacentral:rRNA from 1 species